rnacentral:rRNA from 1 species
UUUAUUUGGAGAGUUUGAUCCUGGCUCAGGACGAACGCUGGCGGCGUGCUUAACACAUGCAAGUUGUGCGAGAAAGCUACCUUCGGGUAGUGAGUAGAGCGGCGGACGGGUGAGUAACGCGUGAGUAAUCUACCUUUAAGUUGGGGAUAACUAUUCGAAAGAGUAGCUAAUACCCGAUAUUAUAUCGACAACAUAAGUUGUCGAUAUGAAAGAUGG